rnacentral:rRNA from 1 species
UNGGGNCCUUUGUGNCGGUUNUUNCAUUCCUUUCUUCAGNUNGUGUUUUAAAAUGUUGGGUUAAUUCCCGCACAGGGGGCAACCCUUAUCCUUGUUUGCCACCACUUUGGGUGGGAACUCCGGGGGGCCUGCCGGUGAUAAACCGGAGGAAGGUGGGGUCGACGUCAAGUCAUCAUGGCCCUUANGAGUAGGGCUACACACGUGCUACAAUGGCAUAUACAGAGGGCAGCAAGUCUGCGAAGUGGAGCGAAUCCCAGAAAGUAUGUCGUAGUCCGGAUCGGAGUCUGCAACUAGACUCCAUGAAGUCGGAAUCGCUAGUAAUCGUGGAUCAGAAUGCCACCGUGAAUACGUUCCCGGGCCUUGUACACACCGCCCGUCUCACCAUGGGAGUGGGUUGCACCAGAAGUAGAUAGUUUAACCUUCGGGAGGACGUUCACCACUGUGUGGUUCAUGACUGGGGUGAAGUCGUAACAAGGUGACCG